UAUCCAUGAUGAGUACAUGCAUUUAAGAGGCAUUUGAAACGUUCCCAGCAUUGAUAAAAUGUUUCCACAUCUUUUUGGCAAAAAUUCAUGAUUUUUAUUUUUAAAGCA